rnacentral:ncRNA from 1 species
AAUCCUUUGCGACGACUUAGCUGUGCGAAACGGUCCUGUAAGCAGUAGAGUGGCCUUGUUGUUACGAUCUGCUGAGGGUAAGCCGUACUUUGCCCCGAUU